rnacentral:ncRNA from 1 species
GUCAGCCACCCCUCCCUGAAGGGAGGGGCUUGUUGGGAAACCGGCAAGCCUAACGGUUGACCACCGGGGAGCCUUUGAUCUCGUGAAUUCGCGACAGGACUCCCGAGUCGACUCUCGCGAACGCGA